AAACCUUUUUCUCUCUCUUCUCAUAUCGUACUGAUAUGAUGAUGUGACAUUUGUUCUGUUUGUAUCUUCAUGUAUGUGUAGUGGACACACUAGAGCAUUAUGAUGACAUCAUCAUUAUUGGACAGAACUGUAAAGGUGUAACGAAGGGAGAUCAGGAGUAUGAUGAUGUGAAGAACAGCAAUGAAGAUGAGAAACCUGUUAGACUAUGAUGUGGGGGAGGAGUCAAAUAAAGAAGGAGGGGCCAUAUGACUCAAUGGCCACACCCUCUGCCUCUGUUCAUGAAAUCAUAUUACAGUUACUGGAGCUGCUGGGAGCUUCUCAUAUUGCUUUUAAUGCAUCAAUGCCUAAUGUUUUUAUGUUAUUUUAAAUAUUUUUGUAUGAAAAUUUAAAUAUUUGUAUUUUAGCAUUUGGUCUUUUAUUACUAUUUUGAUAUCAAUGCUUUUCACCUAAUAAACAAAAUAUAUCAUUCCAACAUCAUGUCACAAAAAUACUUUUAAAAGAGUCGUUAGAGAAAAGAAGAAAGUUAUGCUAUAAAUGUUUAAGAGAGUAUUUUUAGGCACUACUGUACUUUUAGGCUGCUGACAGUAUUAUUUACCUAAACCUAAUGCUAAAAAUAGAUU